AUGAAAAAGGUGUCGAGCGGGUGCAAGCUCGAGGAGCUAGGAUGGAUGGAAGAAAGCUUGACCGUUUUUUCACUGAACUACUCGAACUUUUUGUUCGAAAAAGCGGAAAUAGCUCAGUUCGAGAGAGGGUUGAGCUUCAUCGGGAUUAUUGCUAUCGAUUCGAUGAUCCCUAUAGGGCGCGGUCAGCGAGAGUUCAUUAUUGGGGACAAACAGACUGGCAAAACAGCAGUAGCCACAGAUACAAUUCUCAAUCAAAAAGGGCAAGGUGUAAUUUGUGUUUAUGUUGCUAUCGGUCAAAGAGCAUCCUCCGUAGCUCAAGUAGUAACUACUUUCCAUGAGGAGGGGGCCAUGGAAUACACUAUUGUAGUAGCUGAAAUGGCGGAUUCACCUGCUACAUUACAAUACCUCGCUCCUUAUACGGGAGCAGCCCUGGCUGAGUAUUUUAUGUAUCGCGAACAGCAUACUUUAAUAAUUUAUGAUGAUCUCUCCAAAUAG
rnacentral:rRNA from 1 species